UACGUAGGCAGCGAGCGUUGUUCGGAGUUACUGGGCGUAAAGAGUGCGUAGGCGGUUUUCUAAGUUUGGUGUGAAAUCUCCCGGCUUAACUGGGAGGGUGCGCCGAAGACUGGAAGGCUUGAGUAUGGGAGAGGUAAGCGGAAUUCCUGGUGUAGCGGUGAAAUGCGUAGAUAUCAGGAGGAACACCUGCGGUGUAGACGGCUAUCUGGACGGCCACUGACGCUGAGACACGAAAGCGUGGGUAGCAAACAGG
rnacentral:rRNA from 1 species